UGGACAAGUGCGGCGGGUAGCAGGAGUAUUGCUGACGAUUUGAAAGGUAGUACCAGUGUGCGGUGCCUCGUGUGUUCGGUGAUGCGAAGUGCGUGGGUAUGGUGAUUGUGUGUGGCUUUGGUGACAUGUAGCGGGUGAAAAGGAGUACAUAAAUACCCAGAAUAGCGAAAUGUCUUAGUAUUUAUGCCUUCUGGAUCAACUUGGUGGCAAGACGUGUUCCUGGACUGUGUGUCGCAGCUUGAAGACAAGGCACGGGAAGAAAGGCAACUUAUUCAUGCAGUCUGGGUCAGUUGCAAGGUGUUGAGGAAGACCUGACUCCAUGUUACCACCAACUAAACAAGAUUCUGAAGGUGAUGGAUGACUGGAGGAGACUGCGUAGAUGAAGAGACGAAGAAAGUGUAGAAGAACGGAAAGAAGAAUGGAAUAAAGAGACAACAACAAAAGUUUUGAGGAAUCAUUGACGAAUUGAGAAGAUAAGAGACAAUAAAGAAGAAACAAUAAGGAAUAGACCAAAGGGAAGAUAAAAUAAGGAAGAAUCAUUGAGGACUUCAGUGGGCAAUGAUAAAGAAGACAUGGAGAAUCAUUAAUGACUCAAUGAUGAAUAAAGAAAGGAUUAUCCAGCAUGUCAUCGCGAACUUUUAAGUUCGAUAUUGUCAAAAUGUCACCAUUCCCUCAGGACACCAGAGUCUGUAGUCUUCAAUGUCCGAGCAGCAAGGAACACAUCAUGAUCUUAUUCCUGGAUGGAAUCCCAAAAAACAGCAGGAAGCAUUAAAUGUAUUACCUCCACCACCAGCACUCCAGCUGACCAAGGACAGUGCCUCCAAUGGGCCAGAGCAACUGUUUCCAUGAGCUAAAGCUGAACAGCCUGCAGUCGAUGACAGACAGGCAACCAUAUCCAAGGGGGAAGACAGCCGUUGCUCACCAUGCAAGGGAAACACCUUUCUCCCGGUCGGUGUUGGAGCAGGAAUCUCCAGACAGAGGCCUUUUGGAACGUAGCAUUCGUCUUCCCCCACUCUCUGGAGGCAGAACCAAACUUAGUGGUA